rnacentral:rRNA from 1 species
UAACCAGACUCCUACGGGAGGCAGCAGUUAGGAAUAUUGGGCAAUGGAGGAAACUCUGACCCAGCAACGCCGCGUGAAGGAAGAAGGUUUUCGGACUGUAAACUUCUGAUCUAAGGGAAAAAGAAAGUGAUGGUACCUUAGGAGAAAGCCACGGCUAACUACGUGCCAGCAGCCGCGGUAAUACGGAGGAUGCGAGCGUUAUCCGGAUUUAUUGGGUUUAAAGGGUGCGUAGGCGGAAUGCCAAGUCAGCGGUAAAAUCGCGGGGCUCAACCUCGCUCCGCCGUUGAAACUGGCGUUCUUGAGUGGGCGAGAAGUAUGCGGAAUGCGUGGUGUAGCGGUGAAAUGCAUAGAUAUCACGCAGAACUCCGAUUGCGAAGGCAGCAUACCGGCGCCCAACUGACGCUGAAGCACGAAAGCGUGGGUAUCGAACAGGAUUAGAUACCCGAGUA